GAUGAAGAACGUAGCGAAAUGCGAUAAGUAGUGUGAAUUGCAGAAUUCAGUGAAUCAUCGAAUCUUUGAACGCACAUUGCGCCCCUUGGUAUCCCGAGGGGCAUGCCUGUUCGAGCGUCAUUUCACCACUCAAGCCUGGCUUGGUGUUGGGCGACGUCCUCUUUGGGGACGCGCCUCGAAACGCUCGGCGGCGUGGCACCGGCUUUAAGCGUAGCAGAAUCUUUCGCUUUGGAAGUCGGGGCCCCGUCUGCCGGAAGACCUGCUCGCAAGGUUGACCUCGGAUCAGGCAGGGAUACCCGCUGAACUUAAGCAUACAAUAAGCGGAGGA
rnacentral:misc_RNA from 1 species